CUUAGAAGCUUGGGGAGGACAGUCCAUUCUGAGAAUCUCUGAACUGAGAGAGAGUGACUCGGCCGAGUAUCGCUUCAAGUUUAAAUCAAUGAGCUUUGAAUGGAGGAGCAGUUUACCUGGUACAAAUCUGACCGUCACAGGUACUGAAGAACACACCAAAUACAGCAGUACAUUUUGCAAACUUUUACCUCCUCUUAGUAAGAUUCCUUUCCCCGAGUGUUUUUUUGUGAUUAUUCAAAGUGUUUGCAUGAAAGUGUUUUCAGGUAAACACAAAUAAAAGUGCUUAUAACUCCAUUUGAAGCACUCUCACUGUUAUCCUUCUAUAUUCUGGAUGUCCAGCUCCGCAGGUGCAGGUAACUUCUGUAACAGUCAAAGAGGAUUAUACUGGAGCAACACUGAAGUGUCACAACAGCUGCACUAUAUCUGGUGGCAUUUCAUAUGUCUGGUUCAAGAAUGGAGAAAAAAUCCCAAAUGAGGAGAGCUCCUCUCAUGAUGACUGUUUUUUGCCAGGACACUCCAUCUCCUGUGCUCUGAAAGGGCUUGAAGAGUAUGGCUCCUCCACACUGUGUGAGUUUGCUCCACUAUGGCUGCCUUCAAAGGGGUCAACCACAUUUAAUGGCUUGUCACAUUAGCUACUCAUUUUAUUAGUCAGUGAUUUUUUUCCCUACAGAUGCUCUGAAUGCUCCCUCAGUGUCAGCAAGUCCUCCUGGUGAAAUAACAGAGGGCAGCUCGGUCACUUUGAACUGUAGCAGUGAUGCUAACAUUACAGCUACAUACACCUGGUACAAGAGGAACCAAGCACUGUCCUGUGAAAAACCACAGCUUAUUUUCACUUCCAUCCAGUCCUCUGACUCUGGAGAGUACCACUGUGCAGCUGAGAACGAGCUGGGGAGGAGAGCGUCCAAACCCAUCUCUGUUGAUGUCAAAUGUGAGUGAAAAACACUUAAAUGGCUGAAAAUAUUUAUCUAUGAUUUGGGAAAACUGUCUUGUGGUCUGACAAAUCAGAAUUUGGCUUUCUCUUUGGAAAUCAUGGAUGCACCCCCAGUGGCAUAGGUAUAGAUAAGAAACGAGAGCAUGAGUAGCUUUCCCAUCUGGGUAAGCAUCAUUGAUGCUAAAAAUUAGAAGUAGGUUUUGGAGGAACGUAGUACCAUCCGUCAUCUUGUAAAUUUCAGCAAGACAAUGCCAAAGCUCCUUAUACACAUAUAGAACAACAUGGCUCUGUGGUAGAAGAGUCCUGGGGCUCUAUUUUGGUGCCUCGCCGGAGAUCUGCCGCAAGCGCAGCGUCAAUCAGAUCUGCCGCGCUGACAAGGCGUUCCCAAGCACAUUUUGGUAUUUUGGUGAGCCGCGCAGCCCGGCGUAAGUAUCCCCCCUCCCUAACUCAGCUCCUCCCAGCACCAUAAGUCGGAGAAAGGGCGUGUAGUGAUUUUAACAAAGCCGAGACCUGUUUUCACCAAUCACAUAAGCUCCUUUCCUUGCCUUUAAAUCCGCCACCGGCGAGGCGUAUUACUAUUUUCAUGAAGUAGUCAAAGAGAUCAAGAGAUGUCUUAAGACAGUAAUGCCACAAGAUGGCGACAGAGGGCAGCUCCUCAACAAGUGUCACUGUAGCGCUGCAUUGGGUGUCCUCCACACUCUCUCAUAUGAGCACAGAUGGAUUUAGUGUGCGUAAUGUUGGACCCAGUGGUAAGACAAACACCCUUUUCCACAAAUAAAGACACUCACAUAAAGUUGCAUAUAUUCAAACCUCACGUGACAAAGGUGGGUUUAGCGCACAGAUCACAACAUAAACUCCAAAAAUGGCAUUAAAAUUGGAACCAUCUGUGCGUAAAUGACGCAUCGCGCUCUGUGGCCUGGCUCUUUCUUUCAUAGAUGUUGGCAUAUAAAAUAAAUUUGGCUCACAAAACUGAAUAUUAUAAUAUCCGUAUGUCGGCUUAAAGUAGAUCACGCAUCUGAGCACUGAAACAAAUCAUCUGUUCAGUCGCAGCAGCAGCAAGACGGACAGAGGACACGGAGGCGUGUCCAGGUCGAGCUGCGCGAGAAAUAAGAGGAAGAGGAAGAAAGAAAAGGAGGGAGACACAUUACAUAUCUUGUUAACUUCAUCAUGUGUGUUUAUUUACUAGAUAUUUAAUUUAAUUUGAUGCGGUUUCAGCUGUGUUGAUUCGGUCAGGUUGUGUGUCCAAACGCGUGCCAAACGCGCUCAUCAGAUCAGAUAUAGAUCAGAAUAUAUCGAUAUAGAUCUAAAUGUAUGUGCUGACUCAGAUUAUUAGUUGUUGAUGAUUACUUAUUGCACUGAAAUGUGCCUGACACUGUGGAAACCUGCCGGUGAGGCAUCAGUGACGUAUGUCGAUACGCCGCCGGUCUACCAAAAUACUACUAGACCAGCUGCGUUCCGCCUUGCGCUGAAAGCUGACCAGGUUUGAAUCGGCGAGCUUUCAGCGCACUUUACACGCCGUUGGCGAGCACGAAAAUGUCACUGCGCCAGCUGAUUCUGUCAACACCUCCCCCUGCCACACCACCACGCCCAGCUUGGCGGAUCUCGGCUCGCCUCUGUGCGAAUCAGUCCAGGAAAAUACCAAACUCGCCUUACGCCGGGCUCCACCAGACGAAAAUACAACUGCGCGGGGCUCGCCGCCCUCCGCCGCCUCACCGGCGCGAACGAAAAUAGAGCCCAAGGAGGUUUGACCCUGGAAUGUCACAGUAUAGUUGACCUGAAGGUACUUCAUAUGUCUGGUUCAAAGGCGGACAAAAAUUUGACCAUGAAAAAUCAUCAAGUUAUGACCCUGACCAGGUUCUUCAUGCAGACAGAUUUUCCAGUGCUGUAAAAGGAUGUUAGGAGUUAAAUUCUUUCCUGUUUCCUCCUCCAGAUGCCCCAAAGUUUCCCUUUGUGUCAGUGAGUCUGUUUACUGAGAAGUGGAGGGCAGUUCAGUGACUCUGACCUGCAGCAGUUAUGCUAACCCUGCAGCUAGAACCACCUGGCACAAGGAAAACAACACCACAUUUCAUGCAGCAGGAAGGAUUUAUAAUUUCUCUCCAUUAGCUGAGUAGAAAACAUUAGAAAGUCUGCUGUCCUGGCGAUGCAGCUCCAAAGGACUGGAACACUUGCUGAAAAUCACCACAUAAUGGGUAUAAAUAUGAUUCAUCAAUGACUCACUCAUUGGGUUUAGGUCCUGAUUCAGCUUCUGAAAUAUCAAAUAUUUCACUUUACUCUAGAGGAGAUGUUAAAGUUUCACAUUCGGACUCCAGAAUCCAGAUCCACAGAUCAGUCCUCUCCACGUCUAUGUAGGCUGUAUGCUCAGGCUUUGGCUCAAGUUGUCAGUGAUCCAUCUUCCCAGCAGGGUUUGGAUCCCCCCAGGUAAACUAGAUGCUCCUGUUGAUGGGAAUUCAGGAAAAAAACAGCUCUUUCAGUUCCUGAACCAUUUAACUCACAAGAACCAUGACGGACACGUACUUCCUAUAACAGCGAGGAUCUUCUCACCAGUAUUUGAAUCAUCAUUUCUGUUAACCGCUCACAGAGGAAGGACAUCUCACGGUUUGAUGCCCUGAUAGUGCUUAUCUACUCAUGAACUGCAAAGGAGAGGCACCUUUAAAUUGGAGAUCAUUAAUCAGUGUAAGCUGCCAUUUUAUUGAUAAGUCUGAUCGAUUUUAAAGUUUCAUGUUCUCAGUGUUUUGUCCGCUGGUUUGUUGUAUUGUCUUUCAGGCCACAGAGAAAGAGGAGAGGAGCUGAGAUGAGUUUAACUACAGCAGUAACUGGAUUUAUUGUCCUUCUUCUCUCAGUGUCAGGUACCUUCAUAAUAUUUCCAGUUCAACUUGUCAUGUUUAAUAGGGAAAACUUAAGUAAAUUAAGAGACUGAUUAAUAUAGAAUCACAGAUUUAACCGUUUUGAUCAGUUAUGAUGGGUGUGUGCUCUUGUGAUGGACAGCUCCCUAACCGUACAGUUACAAUGUAGAAACUGUCAAGUUUGUCAAGUAUGUCAAGUUGUGUUUUUCCAUCCUUUUUGGCAUCAUUCUUUUUUUCAAAAAAAUAUGUUUUUAUAUUCAGAUUUUUUAAAGCUUAGUUUUGCAUCAGUUAGAGAAAAACCUGAACUUUUGAGGGAGAAAUUGAGUUUUCUUUACAAAGAUAUCUGACCUUUUUUUUUAUUUUUUGAGUGAGUUGCUUUCCAGUCAAGACUCUCUCCGAUUUUUAUCUGUCGUCUUACAUCUGCGUCAAACCCUGCAGAUGUAAGGUUUGACAUUUCCAUGUUAUAUUGAAGCUCUUAUCUCAUCUUUGAGUAGUAGCAGCUGCUCAGUUUUUCACACCUCAGAGCUCUGCAUUUAUUUUUAACUUUGACACUCCAUCAGCAGCAAAGUCGGCACAGAGGAGACUGUGCGGAUGCUGCACUAGCUUGGCGCCCUCCUGUGGACAGUAGCAGUCUUUGCCUCUCUCAAAGAUAUUCUGUCAAUCUGUGGGUGGUGCUAUGAUGUACUUUGGGCAAUAGUACAGCAUCCCUGACACUGUUAACAAGUGAGGAACUUCCACAGAUAACAGGGAGAUCAUGCAGACAAUGUUAUCACAGCAUGAAUUAUAAAGAAAUGUGAGAGACCUUUCAAUUUUCUUUUUUAAAUGGCAAAAAUACACUUACCUUUAUAGGCUGAAGUGAUGAAAAUAAUCAAUAUUUAAAUACAGAUUCAAAAACGAAUGGAACAAAUUAGAAUAAAAUGAGGUUUUAUUAAUGAAAACUGAAGCGUUAUACUGUUUUGGUAAAUCCAUUAAAUAUAUAUUCAUUUUGGAAGCUUGAGAGUUAACCAAAUGUGGUCAAAAUACUGGCGAUGGAUGUCAACUUUUACAUAAAAUGCUAGUGGGGGAAGAGUUAGGUAGCAUCUUCUGAAACGUUUCUCAACUUGCAAACUUUUGACAACCAAAUGUAUCAUUUUGUUCAUUUAAAAAAAAGUCUGUAUACUAUCAGCUUUGCAUAAAAUAUUCAUGAUAAAUGACACAUUUCAUUGUCAAAAGUGAGCAGGAAGCCAAAAUUGACAUAAUGAAAGUUCCUCACACAAACUUUAAGUCUGACACUUUUUCUCAUUUUUUUGUGUUAAUGUGGAUUGUGUUUUCUGUUCUGUAUUACAGUGGUUCAGGGUCAAGGAAGCUGGAGAAUGAGUUACUACCCAGAUGAGAUCUGUGCUCCUACAGGAUCAACUGUGGAAAUACACUGCAGCUUCACUAAGUCAGCCGCAAUACAUACGAGUGAUAACCUUAUUGAAAAAGUAUGGUUGGGCCAAAAAGACGGCCAUGAAAACCAUGCUGUUGAGACAGACUCACAGUAUGCAGGUCAUGUGAAGAACAUCUGUGUCCGGGACACAUGCACUCUGAGAAUCAGAGACCUGAGAGAGAGCCACUCAGCUAAGUACCACGUCAUGCUCAUAACAAGCCAUUACAAACAAGUUGGUCUUCAAGGAGUCCCCCUGUUUGUCACAGGUAAAUUUUCCGCUUAAGAAUCUACAAGGUCACCUUUUUUGAAAAUCUCUAAAUAAUUGUGUUAUUAUGAUCACUUAUGAACACAUGUUCAGCUCUGCAGGUAGAGGUGCGCAGAUCACAUGACACGUUAUUACUGGAUUGUAUCAGCAGUUGCCCCGAUGAUACUGUCUUCACAUGGUUCAAGAAUGGCAGGAGAGUUGAAGAUAGUAAAUUCUCAUUUCAUCCUGGCAAAAUUCUUCAGACAGACAGAUUUUCCUGUGCUCUGAGAGGGUAUGAGGAGUUCACCUCGCCUUCAGUGUGUAAGUUUACUGACAGGAUUGAUCUGUACAUGCAUUUCUUUUGUUCCUUUAGCUAAAAUAUUCCGUGUGUUUUAUAACUAUCAGUAAAUUGAAUUUUGCUACUGCUACUGCUACUACUCAAAAAUGAGAUAAGAGCUAUUCAAUUUCCCUUCAGGGAUUAAUAAAGUUCUUCUACUUCUUCUUCUUCUUUAACAAAACUUGCUUCCUGAUCCAUCAGUCUAAAAAGAUGUUAAGUUCUGAGAAGUUUGACACUUAUAAGUAGGAAUGGGGAUUAGUAACCAGGCCAUCAGGAGUCUGAAGGAAAAAAAAGGGAAAGACUCGAUUGUGGUAUCUUUUAUAUAUUUAAGGAAGAUUUAUUGUUACUGGGUGUUGGUUUGUUCUUGUCCUCUCCUCCAGAUGCUCCACAGCCUCCCUCUGUGUCAGUGAGUCCCUCUGCUGAGAUAGUGGAGGGUAGUUCAGUAAAUCUGACCUGCAGCAGUGAUGCUAACCCUGCAGCUACUUAUACAUGGUACAACAUAAACAGUGGUGAGCACCUCAGUGUGGGACCAAGGCUUGUCUUCAGCUCAAUUCAAUCCUCUGACUCUGGAGCAUACAGAUGUCACACCAGUAACCACCUUGGGAGGCAGCGUAAAGAUGUCUUUAUUGAUGUAAAAUGUUAGUCAAACGUCAAAGCUUAAAAGCAUUUUGA